UACGGGGGGGGCAAGCGUUUGUUCGGAAUUACUGGGCGUAAAGGGCUCGUAGGCGGCCAACUAAGUCAGACGUGAAAUCCCUCGGCUUAACCGGGGAACUGCGUCUGAUACUGGAUGGCUUGAGAUUGGGAGAGGGAUGCGGAAUUCCAGGUGUAGCGGUGAAAUGCGUAGAUAUCUGGAGGAACACCGGUGGCGAAGGCGGCAUCCUGGACCAACACUGACGCUGAGGAGCGAAAGCCAGGGGAGCAAACGGG
rnacentral:rRNA from 1 species